UUGGGCUAACGUACAGCGACGGUGCUGCUGCACUUGUGCUAGUCAAUGGGGAGAAAGCUAGAACCUUGGUCUUCAAGUUCUUGAAAGGACCAGAGGGUAUGCUGAUGCUGCGCAGGCACUUGAGCUAUUUACAGAAGGAGGGGACCCGACCUUCUUCAUGUCUUGUGGCAGUGUUUACCUUUGAUUCAUUCGUGCAACAAAGAGGGACCUGGCCUUCUUCGUGUCUCAUGCAAAAAGGGUGAUUGACACUGACUACGGCAGCCUGGUGGGCGUCGUGCUCUUCAACCACUUAGAGGUGGACUUCGACAUGAAGCCCAGCGACCGCGCCGCAUGGAUGAUCGUCCAUGUGAUCACGAUGUCGGAUGUGGCCGAGGUGGAGGACCUCGACGCCAUCUUUCGGGGUGAGGGAGGAUUCGGGUCCUCCGACGUCUGAACUCCGAGUCUUGGUAGAUACAUGUAGAGAAGUGG